rnacentral:rRNA from 1 species
AGCGAACGCUGGCGGCAGGCUUAACACAUGCAAGUCGAGCGCCGUAGCAAUACGGAGCGGCAGACGGGUGAGUAACACGUGGGAACGUGCCUUUUGGUUCGGAACAACACAGGGAAACUUGUGCUAAUACCGGAUAAGCCCUUACGGGGAAAGAUUUAUCGCCAAAAGAUCGGCCCGCGUCUGAUUAGCUAGUUGGUGGGGUAAUGGCCCACCAAGGCGACGAUCAGUAGCUGGUCUGAGAGGAUGAUCAGCCACACUGGGACUGAGACACGGCCCAGACUCCUACGGGAGGCAGCAGUGGGGAAUAUUGGACAAUGGGCGCAAGCCUGAUCCAGCCAUGCCGCGUGAGUGAUGAAGGCCUUAGGGUUGUAAAGCUCUUUCGUUGGGGAAGAUAAUGACGGUACCCAAAGAAGAAGCCCCGGCUAACUUCGUGCCAGCAGCCGCGGUAAGAC